UCCAAGAAUAUUAGUCAAUGCUCGCAAGAGUGAACUAGCUAACUGAAAUCAUAGAAUUUCUUCAAAUUCAUGAUGUCGUAAGGGAAAAUAAUGAUAAUACCUUACUAAUAGUGUCGUCCAAAUCUGGUGCCAGAAGACUCGGUAAGACCAGAGACGCAAACGUUAAUCAUCUUAAACAGGCGUAAAGGGUUUGUAGGCGGUUUCCAUAAGAUUAUAAUUAAACAAAUAAAGUAGUCUAAUUGGAAACUAGAAUCAAAAAGAGGUCAUAGUGUAUAACGCUUAGAGGAGGGCUGAUAUCCUUAGAUCCUAAGCAGAAUACUAAGGGCGAAGGCCACUUUCCAUUAAUGAUUGACGCUGAGAAACGAAGGUUAGGGUAGGAAAUAGGAUUAGAUACCCCGGUACUCCUUUCUGUAAACGAUGAAUGGUAGUCAUUAGUUUAAAAAAAACUAGAGGCGAAGUUAACACGAUAACCAUUCCGCCUUGUGAGUACUACUGCAAAGUAGAAAACAAAAAAAUUAGUCGGUCUCGAAGCAAACGGAGUGAAGCAUGUUAUUUAAUUCGAUAA
rnacentral:rRNA from 1 species